UUGACAGUCCUGGAGACUCAGGCCUUUUAAUUAUCCAUAUCCCAGAUACAGCACAGGCAAACAGCAGUGCAAGCUUUCUUGUACUAUCCCACCAAUGCACAUCCUAGGAGGUAACAGAGUAGUUUAUUCACCAGGCCCAUUUUGCCCUUGACAUCU
rnacentral:sRNA from 1 species